AGGCUAAUUAUAGCAUAUCUGUCAUUAAGCGCACCUUUUCACCCAAAUAACCCCCAACAUCAACUGUGUGAUAACUGGUGGCUUGCACUUGCAGCACUGUGAACAAAUAAACCCUCUGCUUUCAAUCCUAGAGCCGUGACCAGCAUCACCACCACCACCACCAACUUGUUUCAGCACACCUUCAGUUUUGGAUUUCUUUUCUGCCACAUGGCGGUCAUGGCAAAUGUCCACGUGGUAGGCCUUUGAUGCUCCAUGCUGCCUCACCAUUACACUGAGAUAUGUAUUUAUUACCUACAUCAACAUUAAAAAGGAUUAAUACUUUGUAUGUGAAGCCAUAAUGCCUUUGAAAAUCAAAGAAUAUGCACCUCACUCUCCAACUCUUGUCCAGGGCCCAGCUGGAAGACGUCUUGGUAAAAUACCUUGUAGGCCCCAACUCUGGACAGAAUAACAUGGCUUUUAUAGCCAUUCCAUGGUCCAUGAUGCCUGUAACACAAAGGAACCUUAACAAACAACGUUUUUGAAUAAAGGGCAUUGUUGGGGCAAUGCCUGAAGACACCACUGCGUUUGCCACAAUGUCCUCCACUGAGCUGUCCACCUUUCCAAUAGAAAAAUAAACAAAGAUUAAAAAUGGAAUUGGACAGGUCAAAUUACCUGACAUAAGUGAGACCCAUCAUGCCAUACCGUGAAAUCCUCUGCCACUUCGCAUGGGUAACGUGCCUCCAUUCCGAACAUUAAAAAAAAAGGGGAGAACCUGGUGAGGUUCACCUCUGAAUUGUCCCAUUCAGGUUUUCGACAAGACCAUUCGUUUGUG
ensembl:lncRNA